GGAGCCCCAGGCCUGGGAUUUCCACGUGUCCACAUUCACUGAGCCGGACAGAACAGAGGACUCACAAUGGACUUUGUGCUUGGCUGGGUUUUCCUUGUUGUUCUUUUAAAAGGUGUCAUGUGCGAGGUGCAGCUGGUGGAGUCUGGGGGAGACCUGGUGAAGCCUGGGCUUUUCCUGAGACUCUCCUGUGCAGCCUCUGGAUUCACCUUCAGUAACUAUGACAUGAACUGGGUCUGCCAGGCUCCAGGGGAGGGGUCACAGUGGGUCGCAGUUAUUUGGGAUGAUGGAAGUAAAACAUACUAUGCAGACUCUGUGAAGGGCCGAUUCACCAUCUCCAGAGACAAUGGCAAAAACAUGCUAUAUCUGCAGAUGAAUAGCCUGAGAGCCAAGGACACGACCUUAUUGUGUGAAGGACACAGUGAGGUGUCCUCAGUGUGAGCCCAGAUACAAACC